rnacentral:lncRNA from 1 species
ACAGAAUUUACAGAAAGAAAUUCCCCGAAAUUUCCUUAAUUUUCGUGACAUUUUGGUGGAAUUCUCUGACAGUUGAAGAUACGCCAGAUGGUAGGUACAAAAUUAGAAACAGUUUUCAGGCAAAAUUUAUUGUUCAAAACGACAAACCCGUUCUAGACAGCAAAGAACGGUGACAAAACAAUGUGUCCCUGACAUUUCCAGAUUUUCCCUGAUAUUUCUCGGUUUUCCCGGUAUGCCCUUAUCCUCCGUUUUUGCAGGAACUUCAUUGCUUUGGGAAAAUUCGGCUCAAUCAUCAUCAUCGACUACGACCCGUCCCCUCCUGGCGGCUAUUCUACGCUCCAUAGCAGCUUCUCUCUUCCGUGCAGCAGCGUCCAUCUUCAUGCUCAUGCUCUCCAGAGGUUUCGCAACAGUCUCCUCCAUUUCUCUUUCAAACCUAUCCCAGUAAGCAUCGUCCGCGUUCCAGUCCAUGGUACUACGCCUCUGGCGUAUCCUUCGCUCACGAGCCGCCUCCCUCACCUUCUUGGCCGCCUCCCUCGCCCUCUUGCCCGCCUCCUUCGCUUGCCUGCCCGCCUCCUUCGCUUUCUGCCUCUCCGCCUCGAGUCUCUGCACCUUGGUCUUGAAGGCCCUCUUCUCAUCCGCGGUCAUCUCCCGGCCAAGGUGUAAAUUCGUGUGCCAGGCGGAACCGUCCCUUCGGAUCUGGUAUUGCGCCUCCUGGGGCAGCCUUCUGAUGUCACCGCAGACGCACUUCCCGUUGACGUAGACUGCCCUGUCAUACACCUGGAUGUUGAGGUUCCCCGGGCUCACUACCGUGUAGUAGAGGCCGUCCUCGUCAUAGGUCAUGUACUGCCCACUCCAGUCCAUUGACUUGGUAAACACCGAGCUCAACGGGACGUUUGGCGGGAGGGAGUACACUUGACCGUUGCCUUUGCCUGCGUUAUUUUCAAAUUUUGUAUUAGCAAGAAGUAUACGUGACAUAUUUUAUAGUAAUUUCUAACUAAGGAAUCCCCUGUAUUUUCCUUAGUUUUCUCUGUCUUUGGUUUGCAAGGGAUGAACAAACACAGAAUUUAGUGAUAACAUUAUUCAGGCAGUCA